GUCAUUUGCCUUCUCAAGGGUUUCAGACGAAACCCUAGCGCCGGCACCCUAUCGCUUCUCCCCUCACACGUCACGAUUGCCGGAAAUGGCAACAUUUCAGGCAUGUCAGUCGCGUAUCAGUCUUAGCAUGGCCAAAACGAGUAGCAUUAAAGGCAAACUCGUCUCUCUCCACCUAUUCUCACCAAACGCUGCCUUAGAAGGCUUUUCUUUCAGCAAAACAGUCUGAUGAGGGGGUGAAAGGGAAGCAAAUAUGCAUGUGAACACGUUGAAGGCCCAACCAUGGGUGAAAAUGGUUAACUACAGAUUUGGUACCCCCUAGCCUAUCCCUCUCUUUUAUUUAUAAUUAUUUCAUUCUUAUUUUGUAUUUGUAUAACUUCUAAGAACAUCAUAUUAUAUUGGAAUCCUUUCGAUUAUGAA